UUACAACUCUAGCACUAAGAAGCCAAUUCAAGCCUAAGUGCACAUUAAAUAGCUUUGGAUUCAAAUUAAAUAAAAAGCGGAAUUACAAGCAUGUAAGAUCUCCAUGUUUGCUGCUGUCUUACUCUCUUCUAGCUCCAGGUUGUGCUUCAGAGCUUCGCGCCGUCUUAUUUGGGUGGUUCUGCUGACUGCGUUUCCAGUGCUAAAUAUUUAACUUGAGGUUCUUCGGUCGCAACCGCUUCCAUGUUUUCUCCUUUCACAUACUCCGCGUUAAGUCCCUCUGCGAAGUAACAAUAAAGAGUGAGAUGGGAGGGCAGGAAG